UGAAAUCAUCAUUUGGAUGGGGAAAGAAUAUCCCAUGUUGGAAAGUAGUCAUAGCUUUUAUACAUGUGUGUGUGUUUGUGUGUGUGUGUGCAUGCUUUGACAGCUUUUUGGAGACUACAGCCUAUUUCUUCAUGAGACCAAAAAUUGGAGAGAAGGAAGUGUCCCCAAAUGUUUUCUUCAGUAUCUGGCAUGAAUUCAGCUCCGACUUUAAAGACUUUUGGAAGAAAGAAAACAAACUUAUUCUACAAGAGAGAGUAAAAGAAGCUGAAGAGGUAUGUAGGCAGAAAAAGGGAAAAUCACUUUAUAAAAUAAAACCAAGACAUGACUCUGGAAUUAAAGCGAAAAUAAGCAUGAAAACCUGAACAAAGAAAAGCAGAAAGAAAAUGAGUCCCUGCAGCCACUUCCACAGAAUUCAGCCGACCUAGGGCAGGAAGGAAACUCAUCAUUUUGAUCACUUUUCUUCUUGGCCCCUUGCAUAAUCUUUGUGUUUUCCAGACAGUUCACUGAUUGUUGAAUUCUACUGUAUAUUAAAAAAAAAGAAAAGAAAAAAAGCAAAAGCAGUAGGCCAGUGGAGAAUGUGACACCUUUUCUUUUUGUAAAAGUUUAUGGUAUUUUACCGAUAGACCAAAACAGCAUGUGUAAGAGGCAGUAUCUGCAUUAAUUCUGAACAUGCUAAACAGUAACCUUCAAUUUAAUGAUGUGCAAAUAGCCCUGUCACAGUGAAACACGUUCCAUUCUACUGACGACCAGUACUCCACAUCACUGCAUUUAGAGUUAUGGUUAAAAUGUUAUUUCUAGUGAAUUGUUUGUAUCAGUUUCACAUCUACAUAUAAAUUUUCUAUUUUGAAAUUGAAGUACCAUUUAUAUAUGUCAUAGUCAAGGCUUUCCCAGCUCUUGGGUUGGUCUCUGUAACUAUAUAUUUGUGAAAGAAGAUUUUCAUUUUUUUUACUCAUCAUAUAAUGAAUAGAAAAGAAUAUAGCAAAAGGAAAACCCUUCCUAUAAAUCAUUUAAAAUAGGCAGGAAUCAGAAAUGAGGGUGUUUAUCAACUAUGUCCUUUGGGACCUUACAUAAAGCCAAUCUGCAGCAAAGGUCAAUUAAACCAAAGCUGUGCCUCUCUGUACUUUUACCAUUGCCCUUCACAGAGAAAAUGACACAAUACUUUUAAGGAAUUUAAAUAAAUGAUGCUCAUAAAAUUGCCAAACAUGACUAACUGGUGGCAAAAAAAAGAGUAACUUUUAGAUGGAUUGGCAUCUACCUAGAACUUGUUACUUAAACCCAGCUGCCUGAGUGUUGUGACCUGAUUGGGGUUGUCUUUAUGUGUUAUGGCAGUUGAUUAAAAACUAUGAAAUGAGUAUGCAAGGAUUUAUGAUCUAAAGGCACCUAGGAAAAGAUUUUAUUUUAGAUUGAGAGGAAAAAAGUAAAUCUUCCACUCUCUAUGAAAGUAUUUUAAAAUCAGCUCCUGAUGCGUUGUGAUGGUUUUGUCUAACAUUAAUAGAUAUUUUAAAAAAUUCUUUUAAUGAUAUGUUUUGGGGUACAGCUGUGAAUAAAGGGGAGAAUGUGUUGCUAAUGUAAACCAAUUAUGGAAUCAACUUAAAAGAAACUCUGAAUCAUAACUAUGUUUGUAUUUAUGUAGAGUAUGGUCCUUAGCUUUCAGUCUGUAGUCGACAUGCACAGACACAGUAGUGGCUAUUGGGUUGCUGUUCUGCUGUUCUCCUGUCUCCUUCGGCCCCUCCAUGUGUACAUGACUUUCUUCAAUGAUAUAAUAGGGCAUUUAACAGAGAUCGCUAUGUGCAAUACUGUAUUUAGUGUUUCUAUUUUAAUUUUUCUAGGAUGUUAAUUUAUAUGAAAAUAAAAUGAAUAAUAAAAGAGUUCUGUGCCUAUUGUGUAUGUAUCACCUAAAGAUACUUGCAAAAUACUUACCAUGAGGGUGGAAUUAAGU